CCCUUAGAUGUUCUGGGCGGCCCGCGCACUACAAUGGCGCUUUCAGCGAGUUCCUAUGUUGAAUUUUCCUGGGUAUUCUUGGAAGCGGCGUCUUGACUUGGGAUAGAUCCUUGUAAUUGUUGGUUUUGAACGAGGAAUUCCUUGUAAUCGCGGUUGAUCAGCUCGCGUUUAAUACGUCCCUGCCCUUUGUACACACCGCCCGUCGCUCCUACCGAUGAAUCGUCCGGUGAAGUUCACAGAGUGGCGGUUCGUGGAGUUGCUCGCGAAGUGAAAUGGACCUCACGAUUUAGAGGAAGGAGAAGUCGUAACA
rnacentral:rRNA from 1 species